GUAGGUGGCAAGCGUUGUCCGGAUUUAUUGGGCGUAAAGCGAACGCAGGCGGGAGAAUAAGUCAGCUGUGAAAGCCCUCAGCUUAACUGGGGAACUGCAGCUGAAACUAUUUUUCUUGAGUGCAGAAGAGGAGAGUGGAACUCCAUGUGUAGCGGUGGAAUGCGUAGAUAUAUGGAAGAACACCAGAGGCGAAGGCGGCUCUCUGGUCUGUAACUGACGCUGAGGUUCGAAAGCAUGGGUAGCGAACAGGAUUAGAUACCCUGGUAGUCCAUGCCGUAAACGAUGAGUGCUAAGUGUUGGGAGGUUUCCGCCUCUCAGUGCUGCAGCUAACGCAUUAAGCACUCCGCCUGGGGAGUACGACCGCAAGGUUA
rnacentral:rRNA from 1 species